rnacentral:rRNA from 1 species
AGUGAACGCUGGCGGUAGGCCUAACACAUGCAAGUCGAACGGCAGCACAGGAGAGCUUGCUCUCUGGGUGGCGAGUGGCGGACGGGUGAGGAAUACAUCGGAAUCUACUCUGUCGUGGGGGAUAACGUAGGGAAACUUACGCUAAUACCGCAUACGACCUACGGGUGAAAGCAGGGGACCUUCGGGCCUUGCGCGAUUGAAUGAGCCGAUGUCGGAUUAGCUAGUUGGCGGGGUAAAGGCCCACCAAGGCGACGAUCCGUAGCUGGUCUGAUAGGAUGAUCAGCAACACUGGAGAUGAGACACGGUCCAGACUCCUACGGGAGGCAGCAGUGGGGAAUAUUGGACAAUGGGCGCAAGCCUGAUCCAGCCAUACCGCGUGGGUGAAGAAGGCCUUCGGGUUGUAAAGCCCUUUUGUUGGGAAAGAAAUCCAGCUGGCUAAUACCCGGUUGGGAUGACGGUACCCAAAGAAUAAGCACCGGCUAACUUCGUGCCAGCAGCCGCGGUAA